rnacentral:lncRNA from 1 species
CAAACCACACGGUACUCAGCAAGUAAACGGCUAAACACAAGCUAAGGGGAUGAAAUACGGGUACUCCUACCACCCCAACCGAACCUCCACAACUACAACCUGCAUAAACAUCAACCCAACCUAACAACUCACAGUUUACAUAGAACGAAACUCAACAAAAACAUAUAGACAAAUUACAUAUCCUCCACAACAACACUUUAACAAAUUACAUAUCCUCCACAACAACACUUUAACAAAUUAUAUAUCCUCAAUAACAAGCUCAGUAUUCAACAAUCACAAGUUCCGCAAAAAGGCAAUCACUAGAUCAGCAAAACACAAUAUCAAGUUCACUAAUGAUAAGUAUGUGCAAUGUAAUGGAAUGCAAUGUCAAGUAUAAUGAUGCAUGUCUGACCUAGUGAUACACACCCGCUGUCUCUCAGUCCGAGACCCAUGGGGGACAUAUCUGUCCAUGCAUCUGUCGCGGCGCACGACACGACCCUCGAUAAUAGUAACCAUUGCAGCGCGCGAUACGUCCCUCGAAAUAUAGUAUCCAUCGCGGCGCGCGAUACGUCUCUCGAAAUGGUACAUCCUCUUUAAGUUAUCAUUCUUUCUCAAUGCACAUAACACUUUCACAACCAUGUCUCAGAAUAAUGCAAAUGACAUGUUCACACAAAUAAUGAAGAGAUGACCAUUUUCAUAACAUUGCACAGUUCACAACCAUACAAACAUGAAAUCACAUCAACAAUGAUUCAACAAGCCACCAAACCUUUCUCAACACAUCAACAUAAACAAUUAAUCACAUUGCCUGUUGUUAUCCCUUAUUUUUCAUCAUUAGAAUUAAUCAAUGUGGACAAGUCAACCCAUCACCAAUUCCGUUACUCCCAAACAUAUACCACAAGGAAAUACACGCAUUCCAUACACUUAAGAAUGAGUUUAGAAAUUCACUUGCCUCAAACAAUCUAACAAUCACCCCGGGACUUGAGCCUUCCCGUUUCGCUGAGCUUCCAAAUCAAUACCAUCUAUUCAAGUGAAUAUGCACAAUAAGGUUUUGGAACUAAAAAUACCUAUAUAAUUAUGUCUAGCCUUGACCCAACAACUUGCUCAAUAAAAUUUCUAAAUCUUUAUUCCAACCAAUAUGUCAAAUUUCAUAUCUAGGAUUAAGUCAUAAUUUCUCCAAACACUACACUCUAAUAGUUUCCAUAGCAUAAUAUACCUAAUAUUCAAUUAUUGGUUCAAUAUCUCAAGCUUGAAUUGUAACUUAAUAACUAUAAGUAAAGUUUUCAGAAUUUAAACAAAUACAUAGAUAGUAACCCUACGAAACUCUAACCCAUAUUAGAUUCAAUCACCUCAUUAUCAUUGUAAAAUUCGAAGCCCUCAUUGACCACCAAAUAACAAAUAAUAAUAAUAAUUAAAUCCUCCCAAAUGUAUAAAAGCGACGCUGCUUGGUAUGCCUAAUUGUUGUAAUCCCAUGCCUAUUUUAGACCACCAAAAUAUAAUAUAAUAAUAUGCCCCUCUUUUAUAAAAAUUGUUUUUUUUAACUUAAUUAAUGAUAGUUGUCAGAAUUAUCCCUCCAACCCCAAUAUCACAAUUCAUGUGCAUCAAUUUUCCACGAAUAUAAUAUUAUUAUAUAUUCAUAUAUGGUAUGCACUAUAAUCUAUUUACUAUGGAUAUGGAGGGAAGCCUCUUACCUUGAUGCGAACUGUCGAGGUCCCAUGACGCCCUGCACAAUUAGUUUCUCCUUCCUCCCUUCUUAUUAUCUUUAUUUAUUUUUAUAUAUAUAAAUAAUAAACCCUACUACUUAUUUAGUAUAUAAGGGUCAAAUAGUAUUGAAUUUUAAAUAAUUUAUCACUUUAACCCAUUAACUAUUGAUUCAGUCCAUUAUCUACAAUUACCCAUCAAUUAAUUAACUCAAUCUAAACGUAUAGUUCAAUAUUCUCAAAAAUAAUGUACGGGUCAUUACAUUAUCCACCACUAAAAAUCAUGUUCGUCCUCGAACAUAAGGAAGAAGAAGAAAGAAUAACCAACGUGACCAUAUGUCUAAGUUAUGACCUACCAGUCGAUGUUCAUCUCUCUAGGUGAGCUCAUCCUUAAGACCAUUCCCUCAUGAUCAACUACUAAGAAAUGAACUUUCAAAUAAAACUUUGGGAGAUUUUUAUAUCAAGAGUGAUUAUCAAGCCACAAACUAACCAAUGAACUCAAUAUAAAUUGAAACCUACUAGACCGUAAUACAUCCAUCAAGACAAAUCUUUUCUCACAUAACCAAAAUAACAUUCUGAACAGAUACCAACUACUACCAGAAGUGAACUUUAGCUAAGAACCACAAUCAUAACACACAAGCCAAUCACAUAUCUUAUCAAGAUUUCCUUUCCACAACACAAUCUUCCCACAAACUUAAGUUAUAAAAGUUUUAUGUUUAGACAUCGAAUACUCACCAAGGGAUAAUCAAACAUAUCUAAUCCAAAGAAGAACAAGAUCAAGUAAGCACCCUACAAAUGGUACACGCUAGGAUGAAUAACCUUUUACAACACCGUCCGAUAACCGUAACUAUUCACAAAAGCUCUUUUGUAAGUUCCCAUAAGCAAGGUUGUACAUAUAAAAAUAAUGAUAUAUUUCUAAUUUUUUUCAAACAACAUCAAAUAUGUCAUAACUAAAGUGAACAAGUCUAACCAAGGAUCCUACCUUAUCAAGAAGAUAUAAGAGGAUCGGUACAUCCGAUCCACCACUAGAAAUCCACCCAUAGAUGUUGAAAAACACACGAGUAUAUGGAACGAAUCACACUCUAAACCUUUUUUUUUAAAACGAAGUAGGUGGUUACCUAAAAAUGUACAAAAUCAAGGCUGGAUAACAUAAGAUACUCUUUUCAUAGUAAACAUAUCAAACAAUUAUAGUUAAAUGACUCCAUAUCAGAUUUUUUUUAGCUGCCCACAUUCAACUAGCCUGAUAUCAUUACAAUCUUACACAUACUCGAUUGUCAAACUCCACAUACUUCUCAUAAUAUUCCAUCGAAGUCAACACUCUUAAUAUCAACAAACAUCAUAACCACAACAUCCAUUUACCUUACUCUCAAACUAUCACUAGUUUCAAAGUCUUCUUAGCAAGUAAAUUAUAACCUCCAAAAAUAUUGAACUAUGACUUUCUCUCUCUUUCCAUUUAAGUAUCACAUGAUAAAUAACAGUCUCAUCCAAGGGUGAUAACACAAAUUUCAAUCCCCUCAAAUCCUCAUUAAAUUAUGUAAAAGGUCCACACCGUUAAACAUCAAUAAGUUACCUAUCAUAAUUUGAACAAUCUAGCUCGACAUAACUACAUAGAAUCUUCCACAUAUAGUUAUCUGUCACCCAACCAAAACUCAACCUUUAGAAAAGUCUAUGAUAACUUCUUAGUAAGUUUGUACAGAACUAGUUCAUAUCUCACAGUCAUAUCUAACCUCAUAGGCAUAAAAAAAUAAAAUAAAAUAAAAAAAAUCAAUAAAUCCUUCAACUACCAACCAAGGGUUUAUACGAGAGGUCUUAUUCCUUCACUUUUCUUAGAUUCUUUCCAUGGCAUAAAAUUCUACAAAUCUUGAACCCUUAAAUACACCAUUCUCUUUUUCCUUUCGCUAACUUGAUUACCAGUCUUAUCCUUUUACCAACAAUUCAUGAUAUAUUGAAACCCCAGUUAAGUAUAAUAAUCAAAAGUAACAAAAUUUACUAAUCAAAUUAUUUUUGAGUCAUUCCAAGUGCUUCAUACUCCAAGUGAUCAAUCAUUUCUUACCUUAACCAUUCAUACCUUGAUUAAACACACUAUCAUCAAUCUAAACUCACCAUGAAAAACAUGAAUUUUGAAUCCAACUUUAUAACUUGAUCCUUUUAUCUAUCAACAUUAGCUCAUACCUUGAAGAUUUUUAUUAAUUUAUGUAUCCUACCUUGUCAUUGAUCGCCUUUCCAUCGAUCUUAUCAUAUUCUUUGCCAAAAAUCCUACCAUACUCCUUUCCAAACUCAAAAUCACAAAAAGAACUAAUCAUCAUACUCUAGUUGAACGUCCGUACACUCAGUUCUCUAGUUUUAUCUAAUAUUUCUUUUUAAACCAAUCUAUUGAUCUUGUGACACUAUAUAUUAUCAUAAUUAGGCAAAACAAGUGAAAUUACGUGUCUCUGAACUCAAUUAUCCAAAUUCCUCUGAAGAUACACCAUUAACCCUUGCAAUCAAAGUAAAUCCUAUUUGUCUCCUCGCACUGAAGCUAAGCUACAUACCACUAAUUCUUUUCAUCACGACUUUAGCUUCUUUCAAUUCUAUUCGAGUGGUGUCCCUACAUCUCAUACAACUUUUCAUAAAAUCAUACUACUUACCAAAUAGUAGUAAUCAUAAUCUUAGAUAAUUAAAAGUCAUCAUUACCAUAUAAAAUCCACAACAAACCUUGUCGUAUAGUUGCAUUUCAAUCCUAAUUCAUCGUAAAAAAUUAUUACCAUCAUGCUUAGUUAGAUCUUGUCAUUACCACGAAUUCAACCUUGCCAUCAACAUGACAUCCCAAACCUAGAUGUGCAAACCAUCCAAAAGACUCACUCAAUUUACGCGCAUAUUAUUUCUAAAAUGCUCCAAUUUCGUUCACCCAAGUAUACUCACUAAGACUUUCUUUAUUUAUAAAUUUGUCAUUCCGAUAUCAAUAUACUCAUUUUGAGCUUAAGAUAAAAUUAUUUGACCUCAUUUAGAAUUUUGGGAUACACUUCACUACCUAAAUGUAUUUAUAUCAUACCAAAGAUCUACCACUAAAAUUUCCUUUUAAAUAAUGCUUUAACUCAUUCAGGUGUAGUAACAAGCUAGCUGGUUAAAAUGUCAAUACAACAUCGAAUCUCAUUAUACGAGCAUGUGAUAUAACCGAUAACUAUUUGAGUAGUUAGUAAUCGCACUUGACAUCAACGUAUUCAUUUUCAUGUACCAUUAGUACCAUUUCGUGAAAAUCCAUUACAUCCACCACUAGAACAUAUCAUAUCUAUUGAGAAGAUCAUUUCCAAAUAGGUCACACACUUCAUCCAUCAAAUAGCUGUAAAAUAUUACCCGAUUAGUUUUGUAUCUAACCCAAGUUAUAUGUAUUCUUUCGUAAGCAAGGUCAAUAUCAAAAGUAACACAUUCCAUAAUUCUAACCAAGUACCCAUCAAUACCAUUGUAAUAGUCGUAUCAUGACGUUCUUUGGUAUACACUCAAUCUGUGAAACCACAGAAGGGAUUCUGACCUGAAUUGGUGCAACAUCAUUUGCUAAGCAACCCAUUAAUGGUAUGACAACUAUAUCAAUUGUAUUACACUAUUAUCUAGUCAAUUCUUCAAACACUUAACUUUUAAUUGUCGAACAACUCCAUAUUUUGCUUAUACCAGAUAAGUACUAUAUUUAUUAUUAUUAUUUUACAAUGAUAACUAACCUUACUCAACUCUUUCAAAUAUGAUCACGCAUUCGUUUCAUAAGUAUAUCAUUUUCACCUUAAUACCAGAUCUAACAUCAAACCAAUACACGACAUGCCAAUAAUUCAUAAAAGGAACUACGCACGAGUCAUCACAUAAAUGAGAACGAAUGGAGGGAGGCGAUAAGAAUCAAAAUGGGUCCAAGUACGCACAAUAGAGAUCCAAGAAGUGAAGAUAUUUCCUAAAAGUCACUACAGCCUCUCAAAGAUAGGUACAGACGUCUUCGUACCGAUCAUCGAGACUCUAUUUAGACUCGACUUGUACACAUGUGAGACCUAUGAACCUGGGGCUCUGAUACCAUUUUGUCACGACCCAAAAAUGGGCGUGAUGGCACUCGUCUUAUCCCACCAAGACAAGUCAGCCUAAAACUCAACCAUUACAAUAAAGUGCGGAAACAAAAUAUAAGUAACUUAAUAAAACCCCCAAAACCUGGUAGUCACGUGUACAAGCCUCUAAAGUAUUACAAUUGAUUUAAAAGAAAAACUCAAGUCUCUAAUGAACUUGUUUCUAGAAUAGAACAAGAUCAUAAUUAAGGAGAAGAAAGUCUGCUGCGAUGGAAACAGCUACCUGACCAAUCUCCAAGAAGCCUCGGAAAAGAAGAGAAUGACAAGUACAACAAAAAUCCAGGCUCAUAACCUACAAAAAUUUGUAGACGCAAGGGGUGAGUACCAAACCACACGGUACUCAGCAAGUAAAAGGCUACACACAAGCUAAGGGGAUGAAAUACGGGUACUCCUACCACCCCAACCGAACCUCCACAACUACAACCUGCAUAAACAUCAACCCAACCUAACAACUCACAGUUUACAUAGAACGAAACUCAACAAAAACAUAUAGACAAAUUACAUAUCCUCCACAACAACACUUUAACAAAUUACAUAUCCUCCACAACAACACUUUAACAAAUUAUAUAUCCUCAAUAAUAAGCUCAGUAUUCAACAAUCACAAGUUCCGCAAAAAGGCAAUCACUAGAUCAGCAAAACACAAUAUCAAGUUCACUAAUGAUAAGUAUGUGCAAUGUAAUGGAAUGCAAUGUCAAGUAUAAUGAUGCAUGUCUGACCUAGUGAUACACACCCGCUGUCUCUCAGUCCGGGACCCAUGGGGGACAUAUUUGUCCU